UAAUUGCCGAGCUCCUCUUUUAGGAUUGGCUGCCCCUCCGCAUCCCUAAUGUAAUUAAAACAAGGGGGGAAAAAUUAUCAUGGAGGCAGAGGUUAAUGCAAGUGUUUAGCAGAUGCCUUACAGUAAAAUCUGCAUUAAAAAAAAAAAAUCCAAACAACAAAAAAACCCCCAACUAACUCGUUAAAACUUAAAUAUUGGAUAAUCUCAAACCAGCUUACUGCCUGCGCCUAUGCACCUCCACCAGCCUUCACUCAAGUGACUCACGGUUUCAUGCUUUUUGAACCGGUAUAAUCGGAAAGUUAAGAAGCCGGAAAACUGAGAAGUGAAUGUCAUGUACCUCCCCAGACCUGGAGGGAAACGGAGCUUCGGCCAAAAGGAGUGGGUGUAAAUGCGACAACAAAAAU